CAGCCGCCGCGGUAAUACAGAGGAUGCAAGCGUUAUCCGGAAUGAUUGGGUGUAAAGCGUCUGUAGGUGGAUUUUCAAGUCCGCCGUCAAAUCCCAGGGCUCAACCCUGGACAGGCGGUGGAGACUACCAAGCUGGAGUACGGUAGGGGCAGAGGGAAUCUCCGGUGGAGCGGUGAAAUGCAUUGAGAUCGGAAAGAACACCAACGGCGAAAGCACUCUGCUGGGCCGACACUGACACUGAGAGACGAAAGCUAGGGGAGCAAAUGGGAUUAGAUACCCCUGUAGUCCCUGUCUCUUAUAA
rnacentral:rRNA from 1 species